AUUUGGUGAUAUGGGCAUUUGGCAAGGAGGGCUAUGAAUCUCGUCCAAUACUCAUAAAGGCUUUCACCAAUCCCUUGUUGAAAACUGUAGAUCUCUUUCCUCAUUCU